rnacentral:rRNA from 1 species
AACGAACGCUGGCGGCAUGCCUAACACAUGCAAGUCGAACGAGACCUUCGGGUCUAGUGGCGCACGGGUGCGUAACGCGUGGGAACCUGCCCUUAGGUUCGGAAUAACUCCCCGAAAGGGGUGCUAAUACCGGAUAAUGUCUUCGGACCAAAGAUUUAUCGCCUUUGGAUGGGCCCGCGUUGGAUUAGCUAGUUGGUAGGGUAAAAGCCUACCAAGGCGACGAUCCAUAGCUGGUCUGAGAAGAUGAUCAGCCACACUGGGACUGAGACACGGCCCAGACUCCUACGGGAGGCAGCAGUGGGGAAUAUUGGACAAUGGGCGAAAGCCUGAUCCAGCAAUGCCGCGGGAGUGAUGAAGGCCUUAGGGUUGUAAAGCUCUUUUACCCGGGAUGAUAAGGACAGUACCGGGAGAAUAAGCUCCGGCUAACUCCGU